GAUACGCGAGCAUCUUGCACUGCGGGUUUCUCUCGUUGCUUUCGUGCCCUGGCUUGCCUCGAAAGGCUUCUGCAGCAGGAUUAGACGUUAUUGGAAGUUAAGGUGCAUUUCUCGUUCACAAAACUUUUCUGCAAUCAUUUGCUGGACAAAUUUAUGGAAAUAUUGAAGACAUUUACUGAAGCGGAAGAACUUCCGGAAGAAACUGCAACCGGAAUCGAUUUUCCCAUAAACUUUUCUGCACUCUGUGUAUAAGGAAGAGUAUAUCCAGUGCUCGAGUGAGAUAAAUUAUCUUUGCCGAGAUUUUCCUCGCUUCUGUUUUUGUCUGUGUUCUGGAAUCAUCUUGCCUCAUUCAUAUAUCCCUACCGAGCAUGGGAAAUGUGAGAGUGGGAAAUUCGAGCAAACUGAACAAGUGAAAAAGAAAAGAACUUCGACCCCUGAACAGUGUGCGUACGGUAUUCAGGAAAUCGGUGAAGAUGAUUAAUGGCUACGGUGGCCAAGACAGCUGCCAGGAUCCCGGUUCGUUGCCCUGUCAUUGACAGGCUGUCUGUGGUUUGACCCUUUUUCCAACUGACGGAAUUUGGAAAACGUGCUACUGAAUGGAAAAUUGACCAUCAUCAAAGGGUAAAAUAUCGGAAAUCCAGGAAGGAAAACUAACGGAAAAAUUGAAAAUCGUGUGAGUGCCACCGCUGGUGUUAUGUUUAUGCUUAGUUGUUUUCAUUUUUCGAUAAAGAUUCUGUCGAUUUUAUAAAACAAAGAAAGUUUACUACAAGUGAAAGUGCAUAAAGUUCUCAUGAAGCUGGUGAAAGCAUCGUGCUUGUGUAAGAAAUCUAAAGCAAACAAAUAAGCCGUCGGUAGAAUACAACACAAAAUAAAACGUAAAAUUAAAUAGAAACAACAAAUUGUCGGCGCUAGUGCUUAAACUGUCGGAAAAACUGAGAAGAGAAUUCCAAUUUGCCAGCCAGCUAGCAGAAUCUGAAUUGUUCGUACCCCUUCUAUAUAGCUACGUCUGUGUGCAUGUUUAGCCUGUGGUAAAUAUUUAUAACCAGAGAUAGUCGAUUCGACCCACAAAAUAGUCACUCUUGCAGUCGUGCUACAACGGAGUAGUAACAACCAAAUAAUAAAAAAAAAAUUCCCCGAUUCGUACUACAGUGUGACACAGAUUCAAAUUUCGUCCACUGAGCCGAAUGUGCAUGUACGCACAAAUAUGUGAAUGUAAAAGUGAGUGUGCCAAAAUAUAGAAGCAACAAAAAAUCACGCCAAGGAAAAAGGAUUCUCAAAUUGAAUUCGUUGAAUAAAAGAUUCAACCUCCGGACAGGAGCCAGAAGAAAUCAGUGAAUAUCCAUGUGUAUGUAAAGUUGUUUGUGUGCAAGUAUACGUGUCAUCAGUGCUGCAUAACUCACAGGAGGAGUGAGCUAGCUUUCUCAGAAUUGUGUCGGGAAAAACGAUCGCAAGGAUUGCUUAAAGAGGAUUAACAUUUUAUUGAAUAGAAACAAAAGUAUCGCUCUUCUCUUACUCUGAAACUCGUUCGUGAAGGGCUAAAGAGGUUCUGGUGAAGCGAAACAGGAACGAAACUCGUCCAUUCAACGGGGAGACAAGGAGGCGCGAAGAAGGACACAAAACAUAAACACUCAUUCAACAAGCCACCAUCAAGUGCAGGAUAUUAAAUGAAAAGAACUUACUAUCCUCUCGGCAAAUUGAGAUUUCGGAACAAAAUGAACAGAGAAAUUAUGGCAAAAAUUGCUAAUCCCUUCCAGCAGCACUGCCAACGGAUUACACGAAGCAGCACCAACGGCUUCGAAUCUCUUGCCUAAGUGGACAUUUAGUGUGAGGCGUGGAAAGUGUAAAAAAAAAAAACAAUUUCACGUGCAAAGGAUAAUUGAAGUGGUUGUUAAGUGAAAAUAUUAUCCAGCUUCAUUGUAUUGGCUAGAGUGAAACAACCAAGGGAAGAAAGUGGGAGCAAAAUGUGUGUGACAUCGAACGGAUCGAUUUUUCUCGAAACCGCAAUCAACGACAGCGGCACCAUCAAAAGCACUCAGACCAAUAAGCAGAAUAGUUUUAACAGCAGCCAGAUGACUUCAGUUGAUUGCUUUUCGCGAUUCGUCCCUUUUCGGUAUGGACGUCAACGAAUCUUUGAUUUGGUCAACUGCUGUCUGUUGCUGUUGGUCCUGCUAGUGCCAACGACAGAUGCGGCAAUUUCUAAU